GCAUAUCAUAAGCGGAGGAAAAGAAACCAACAGGGAUUGCCUCAGUAACGGCGAAGUGAAGCGGCAAGAAGCUCAAAUUUGAAAGCUGGCUCCUUCGGGGUCCGCAUUGUAAUUUGCAGAGGAUGCUUCGGGAGCGGCCCCCAUCUAAGUGCCCUGGAACGGGCCGUCAUAGAGGGUGAAAAUCCCGUCUGGGAUGGGGUGUCCGCGCCCGUGUGAAGCUCCUUCGACGAGUCGAGUUGUUUGGGAAUGCAGCUCUAAAUGGGUGGUAAAUUUCAUCUAAAGCUAAAUAUUGGCCGGAGACCGAUAGCGCACAAGUAGAGUGAUCGAAAGAUGAAAAGCACUUUGAAAAGAGAGUUAAACAGCACGUGAAAUUGUUGAAAGGGAAGCGCUUGCGACCAGACUCGCCCACGGGGUUCAGCCGGCAUUCGUGCCGGUGUACUUCCCCGCGGGCGGGCCAGCGUCGGUUUGGGCGGCCGGUCAAAGGCCCUCGGAAUGUAACGCCCCCCGGGGCGUCUUAUAGCCGAGGGUGCCAUGCGGCCAGCCCAGACCGAGGAACGCGCUUCGGCUCGGACGCUGGCAUAAUGGUCGUAAGCGACCCGUCUUGAAACACGGACCAAGGAGUCUAACAUCUACGCGAGUGUUCGGGUGUCAAACCCGUGCGCGCAGUGAAAGCGAACGGAGGUGGGAACCCCUCGGGGUGCACCAUCGACCGAUCCUGAUGUCUUCGGAUGGAUUUGAGUAUGAGCGUAGCUGUUGGGGACCCGAAAGAUGGUGAACUAUGCCUGAAUAGGGUGAAGCCAGAGGAAACUCUGGUGGAGGCUCGCAGCGGUUCUGACGUGCAAAUCGAUCGUCAAAUUUGGGUAUAGGGGCGAAAGACUAAUCGAACCAUCUAGUAGCUGGUUCCUGCG
rnacentral:rRNA from 1 species